rnacentral:rRNA from 1 species
CUCGUAGCUUGCUAUGAGAACAAUUAGUGGCAGACGGGUGAGUAAUGCAUAGGAAUCUACCUAGUAGUAUAGGAUAGCCACUAGAAAUGGUGGGUAAUACUGUAUAAUCCCUGCGGGGGAAAGAUUUAUCGCUACAUGAUGAGCCUAUGUUAGAUUAGCUAGUUGGUGGGGUAAUGGCCUACCAAGGCAGUGAUCUAUAGCUGGUCUGAGAGGAUGAUCAGCCACACUGGAACUGAGACACGGUCCAGACUCCUACGGGAGGCAGCAGUGGGGAAUAUUGGACAAUGGGCGCAAGCCUGAUCCAGCUAUGCCGCGUGAGUGAGGAAGGCCUUAGGGUUGUAAAACUCUUUCAGUGGGGAAGAUAAUGACGGUACCCACAGAAGAAGUCCCGGCAAACUCCAUGCCAGCAGCCGCGGUAAUACGGAGGGGGCAAGCGUUGUUCGGAAUUAUUGGGCGUAAAGGGCAUGUAGGUGGUUUGGUAAGUUAAAGGUGAAAUGCCAGGGCUUAACCCUGGAGCUGCUUUUAAUACUGCCAGACUGGAGUCCGGGAGA